rnacentral:hammerhead_ribozyme from 1 species
AUCCAGCUGACCAGUCUCACAUAGGAUGAAACGUGCGUCCUGGAU